GUGUUCACUUCUGUAGCACACACAUAAAAUAGGAUACAGAUAUUAGCAUGGCCCCUGAACAAGGGUGACAUGCAAAUUCCUGAAGCAUUCUAUAUUUUU
rnacentral:snRNA from 1 species